rnacentral:misc_RNA from 1 species
AUACCUUUUAAAAUUGCUUCUGUUGCAGCUAAUUUGAUCAUUUUUUUUUCUUUUUACAUGAAAGAGUUUUCAAUGAAACUUCGAUUCGGGAUCGGAUCGUGAUCAUGUCUACCUUAGCCCAUACAAUAUUGUGAAACUUUUUCUGCACUAUGUUUUGACUUUUAAAAUUUGAUAAUUUUUUCCCUUUAAUAAAGUUAAUAAGAUUGGACUUUGGUUUCUA